AUUGAACGCUGGCGGCAGGCCUAACACAUGCAAGUCGAACGAGUGGCGGACGGGUGAUUAAUGUCUGGGAAACUGCCUGAUGGGGGGGGAUAACUACUAGAAACGGUAGCUAAUACCGCCUACAGUCAGAUGUGCCCAGAUGGGAUUAGCUUGUUGGGGGGGUAACGGCUCACGAAGGGGACGAGCCCUAGAUGGUCGAAGAGGAUGACGGGCCACACUGGAACUGUGACACGGUCCAGACUCCUACGUGAGACAGCAGUGGGGAUUCUUGCACAAUGGGCGCAAGCGUGAGGUAGCCAAGCCGCGUGUAUGAAGCAGGCCCUCGGGUUGUAAAGUACUUUAAGCGUGGAGGCGUUACCCGCAGAAGAAGCACCGGCUAACUCCGUGCCAGCAGCCGCGGUAAUUC
rnacentral:rRNA from 1 species